rnacentral:tmRNA from 1 species
GGGAGUGCCAAGGUUUCGACAGGGUUAUCAGGUUGUAGGUAGCAGGCCAGGUUGGUCGCUGUGAGAGGCCAAACAUCGUUUAGAUGAAAACAACAAUUACGCUUUAGCUGCCUAACGCAGCUUGCUCCAGGUUUCCGAGGCCGUUUAGGAAUCCUUACGGAGUAUAACUAAUAUACGGCUUACCCGAUACUGUGUCUCGAUGUAUAGGGGAAAUUUAAGAGGCUGGCAUUAUCUGACCAUGUCUGUGUGGGCCGAUAAUGUGAGAUCAAAUCGCAGACUAAGCUUGUAGAAGCUUAUGAUACUGGUGAUCUUGGACACGGGUUCGAUUCCCGUCACUUCCACCA